GGAUGAACGCUGGCGGCGUGCCUAAUACAUGCAAGUCGAGCGAACAGACGAGGAGCUUGCUCCUCUGACGUUAGCGGCGGACGGGUGAGUAACACGUGGGUAACCUACCUAUAAGACUGGGAUAACUCCGGGAAACCGGGGCUAAUACCGGAUAACACAUGAAACCGCAUGGUUUCAUGAUGAAAGACGGUUUUGCUGUCACUUAUAGAUGGACCCGCGGCGUAUUAGCUAGUUGGUAAGGUAACGGCUUACCAAGGCAACGAUACGUAGCCGACCUGAGAGGGUGAUCGGCCACACUGGAACUGAGACACGGUCCAGACUCCUACGGGAGGCAGCAGUAGGGAAUCUUCCGCAAUGGGCGAAAGCCUGACGGAGCAACGCCGCGUGAGUGAUGAAGGUCUUCGGAUCGUAAAACUCUGUUAUUAGGGAAGAACAAGGAUGUAAGUAACUAUGCAUCCCUUGACGGUACCUAAUCAGAAAGCCACGGCUAACUACGUGCCAGCAGCCGCGGUAAUACGUAGGUGGCAAGCGUUAUCCGGAAUUAUUGGGCGUAAAGCGCGCGUAGGCGGUUUUUUAAGUCUGAUGUGAAAGCCCACGGCUCAACCGUGGAGGGUCAUUGGAAACUGGAAAACUUGAGUGCAGAAGAGGAAAGUGGAAUUCCAUGUGUAGCGGUGAAAUGCGCAGAGAUAUGGAGGAACACCAGUGGCGAAGGCGACUUUCUGGUCUGCAACUGACGCUGAUGUGCGAAAGCGUGGGGAUCAAACAGGAUUAGAUACCCUGGUAGUCCACGCCGUAAACGAUGAGUGCUAAGUGUUAGGGGGUUUCCGCCCCUUAGUGCUGCAGCUAACGCAUAAGCACUCCGCC
rnacentral:rRNA from 1 species